GACGAACGCUGGCGGCGUGCUUAACACAUGCAAGUCGAACGCUGAAGCUCAGCUUUUGUUGGGUGGAUGAGUGGCGAACGGGUGAGUAACACGUGAGUAACCUGCCCCCUUCUUUGGGAUAACGCCCGGAAACGGGUGCUAAUACUGGAUAUUCACUGGUCUUCGCAUGGGGGUUGGUGGAAAGGGUUUUUCUGGUGGGGGAUGGGCUCGCGGCCUAUCAGCUUGUUGGUGGGGUGAUGGCCUACCAAGGCUUUGACGGGUAGCCGGCCUGAGAGGGUGACCGGUAACAUUGGGACUGAGAUACGGCCCAGACUCCGACGGGAGGCAGCAGUGGGGAAUAUUGCACAAUGGGCGCAAGCCUGAUGCAGCGACGCCGCGUGAGGGAUGGAGGCCUUCGGGUUGUGAACCUCUUUCGCUCAUGGUCAAGCCGCAACAAUGGUUGUGGUGAGGGUAGUGGGUAAAGAAGCGCCGGCUAACUACGUG
rnacentral:rRNA from 1 species